CAGCCCCUCGAGUGGUGGGGAUGAUUAUUUGGCCUAAAGCGUCCGUAGCCGGCCGAGUAAGUCCCCCGUUAAAUCCAGCGUCUCAAGCGUUGGACUGCGGGAGAUACUACUUGGCUAGAGAGUGGGAGAGGUCAGCGGUAUUCUGGGGGUAGGGGCGAAAUCCUUUGAUCCCCGGAGGAACACCAGUGGCGAAGGCUGCUGACUAGAACACGUCUGACGGUCAGGGACGAAAGCUGGGGUAGCGAACCGGAUUAGAUACCCGAGUAGUCC
rnacentral:rRNA from 1 species